rnacentral:rRNA from 1 species
AACGAACGCUGGCGGCAGGCUUAACACAUGCAAGUCGAACGCCCCGCCAGGGGAGUGGCAGACGGGUGAGUAACGCGUGGGAACAUACCCUUUUCUACGGAAUAGCUCUGGGAAACUGGAAUUAAUACCGUAUACGCCCUACGGGGGAAAGAUUUAUCGGGGAAGGAUUGGCCCGCGUUGGAUUAGCUAGUUGGUGGGGUAAAGGCCUACCAAGGCGACGAUCCAUAGCUGGUCUGAGAGGAUGAUCAGCCACAUUGGGACUGAGACACGGCCCAAACUCCUACGGGAGGCAGCAGUGGGGAAUAUUGGACAAUGGGCGAAAGCCUGAUCCAGCCAUGCCGCGUGAGUGAUGAAGGCCUUAGGGUUGUAAAGCUCUUUCACCGAUGAAGAUAAUGACGGUAGUCGGAGAAGAAGCCCCGGCUAACUGCGU